GAUGAACGCUGGCGGCGUGCCUAAUACAUGCAAGUCGAGCGAACGGACGAGGAGCUUGCUUCUUUGAUGUUAGCGGCGGACGGGUGAGUAACACGUGGAUAACCUACCUAUAAGACUGGGAUAACUUCGGGAAACCGGAGCUAAUACCGGAUAAUAUUUUGAACCGCAUGGUUCGAUAGUGAAAGAUGGCUUUGCUGUCACUUAUAGAUGGAUCUGCGCUGCAUUAGCUAGUUGGUAAGGUAACGGCUUACCAAGGCAACGAUGCAUAGCCGACCUGAGAGGGUGAUCGGCCACACUGGAACUGAGACACGGUCCAGACUCCUACGGGAGGCAGCAGUAGGGAAUCUUCCGCAAUGGGCGAAAGCCUGACGGAGCAACGCCGCGUGAGUGAUGAAGGUCUUCGGAUCGUAAAACUCUGUUAUUAGGGAAGAACAAAUGUGUAAGUAACUGUGCACAUCUUGACGGUACCUAAUCAGAAAGCCACGGCUAACUACGUG
rnacentral:rRNA from 1 species